CAAUAUAAACAUACAUUAUACAAUAUGAAUUCAAUAACUUGUACCAGUACUAGAGAAAUAAUCUCAUGUCAACCUUUUGCAUUUGAAUAACUAUAUGUAUACCCUAUAUGCUCAUAUCUAUUUAUUAUAAGGCAUGAAUGAAUACAAUAUAUAGUGUUGCCAAUAGCCCAGCAAGCAUAGCGGACAACAGAAUUUAUUAAAUAAUUACAUACAUGUGUCUUAAUUUAUAUAUAUAUAUAUAUUUAUAUAAACGUAUGAAAAAAGCAAUAACCACAAUUACUACUAAUAACAAAAACCUUGAAAUAUACUAUUAGGUACAACUUAGCUAGAAAAAGUAAACCUUGUACGAACAAGAGAUAUAAUAUGGUUGACAUGAAUGUAAACUGAAUAACUGAACAAAUGAAUAACUCGAUCAUGAACGACCUCGCCGGCCAGGAACAACCAAACAAACCCAAUAAUGGGAAACUGGAAACCUGGGUCCGACCCAAGGUCUGGAAACAGUCAUAUAUGCUCCGACCCAAUGCGACAAGUCGUCUCACGAGACAUACUCGGACGUGUAUUAUUUUGAAAAAUAUAUAAAUGCAUGUAUCAAAGUAUAUUCAUAAUAUGAAUGGAACUUGAAUGUUGCCCUGUCUGCAGCGGGCUAGAAAGUGAUAAUCUUGGGGAAAAAAUUUCCCGUUAUAAUGUUAGUCAUGUGUCUUAUACCUACUGACGUGAACUUAAAAAUACUAUGCUAGUACUAUAUACAAUAAUUUCUCCCUUUACUACAAAAUGUGAGAAAUUAUACAUAUUUCAGUAUGUUCUGUGGCGGACCAGGAAACCCUAUUUUAGGAAACCUGUGUCCUUUUGCCAAUGCUAGUGAAACUCUAUUGUU
rnacentral:lncRNA from 1 species